rnacentral:rRNA from 1 species
GAUGAACGCUAGCGAUAGGCCUAACACAUGCAAGUCGAGGGGCAGCAUAAGGAAGUAGCAAUACUUUCUGGUGGCGACCGGCGCACGGGUGAGUAACACGUAUGCAACCUGCCUUCAACAAGGGCAUAACCCGUUGAAAGACGGACUAAUACCCUAUAAUACAGGGGCCCCGCAUGGGGAUAUUUGUUAAAGAUUUAUCGGUUGAAGAUGGGCAUGCGUUCCAUUAGCUGGUUGGUGGGGUAACGGCCCACCAAGGCAACGAUGGAUAGGGGAACUGAGAGGUUUAUCCCCCACACUGGUACUGAGACACGGACCAGACUCCUACGGGAGGCAGCAGUGAGGAAUAUUGGUCAAUGGACGCAAGUCUGAACCAGCCACGUCGCGUGAAGGAAGACGGCCCUACGGGGUUGUAAACUUCUUUUAUACGGGAAUAAAGUGCCCCACGCGUGGGGUUUUGCAUGUACCGUAUGAAUAAGGAUCGGCUAACUCCGUG